rnacentral:rRNA from 1 species
GAUGAACGCUGGCGGCGUGCCUAACACAUGCAAGUCGAGCGGUAGCACAGAGAGCUUGCUCUCGGGUGACGAGCGGCGGACGGGUGAGUAAUGUCUGGGAAACUGCCUGAUGGAGGGGGAUAACUACUGGAAACGGUAGCUAAUACCGCAUAACGUCGCAAGACCAAAGUGGGGGACCUUCGGGCCUCAUGCCAUCAGAUGUGCCCAGAUGGGAUUAGCUGGUAGGUGGGGUAACGGCUCACCUAGGCGACGAUCCCUAGCUGGUCUGAGAGGGUGACGAGCGACACUGGAACGGGGACACGGGCCAGACUCCUACGGGGGGCAGCAGUGGGGAAUAUUGCACAAUGGGCGCAAGCCUGAUGCAGCCAUGCCGCGUGUGUGAAGAAGGCCUUCGGGUUGUAAAGCACUUUCAGCGGGGAGGAAGGCGAUGAGGUUAAUAACCUCAUCGAUUGACGUUACCCGCAGAAGAAGCACCGGCUAACUCCGUGCCAGCCGCCGCCGUAA